UAGGGAAUUUUCGUUCAAUGGGCGCAAGCCUGAACGAGCAAUGCCGCGUGAACGAGGAAGGUCUUCGGAUCGUAAAGUUCUGUUGAGNGGGAAAAAGGGUCACCCAGAGGAAAUGCUGGUGAAGUGAUAUUACCUUUCGAGGAAGUCACGGCUAACUACGUGCC
rnacentral:rRNA from 1 species